UAGGCACCAUGAGUUGAUAGAACAUUGUAGCUAUUGAUAACUUUUCAAUGGUAGGAUCCAAAAAAUUCUAUAUAUAUUAAAACCCAAUGCAACUAAACACUGCAGCUAAGCACAGUGAAAUGACGAAACUAAACUCAGUUUUCUCAUCAGCACAGUGAAAUCACGGUUUUGCCCUUGGCUAAUUGCUUUGUGUUUUCCCCAUUUUGCCCCCCCUCUCCUUCGAUUGUAACGACUUGGAGCCUUCGUUCUAUCAGAUGCUGGGUUCGCUUCUAACCAGGUUGGUUGGCCUGGUUGCGGGGCAAUGAUGGGAGAGGCCGGUCUACUGUUGGAGAUUAUCUGGAGGCUUCGAUUUUUAUGGGAGUAGCGUGCGUUGGUCUUCUUUUUCAUAUCGAACUCCAGCUUGCUCUCUGUUUCAGUCUCUUUCUCUCACUGAUCUGAAGGUUUAUGCUUCUUUGGCAAGAAGAGAAAUGCUGCAAGGAACCCAAAAAUACGAGGACUCUUCAUGCCUAAUAGGAACAAUAGAUGACUGUUAGGAAUGUAACCCAAAUUGGCCAAACAACAGGCAGAGCUUAGCAGAUUGUGCAAUUGGGUUUGGCCAAUAUGCUCUUGGAGGCAAAGGUGGUGAGUAUUAUAUUGUCACAGACUCUUCUAAUGAUGAUGCUGUGAAUCCAAGGCCAGGCACUCUGAGUUAUGCUGUGAUACAGACUGAGCCUCUCUGGAUUGUGUUCCCUGGCAACAUGCUCAUCAAGCUCUCCCAAGAGCUCAUCUUCAACAGCUACAAGACCCUUGAUGGCCGUGGAGCCAAUGUCCACAUUGUGGGUGGUGGCUGCAUCACAUUGCAGUUCAUAAGCAAUGUCAUCAUCCACAAUGUGCAUAUCCACAACUGUUAUCCGUCAGGCACAUGAGUUUUCCACUUCAUUUCAUGAAUUUUUAUUUACCAUAUACGCAUGGUUUGCUCAUGGUUAAGUUUAUUCAAAUUUACUCGAUAUAUAUGAUUUACGAAUGAUUGCAAAUAUUUAGUUUUAUCUAAUACAUGUGGCUUAUGAAUAAGAGACUGUGUGUAUCUAGAUUUACUUUAGAUUUACCUUAAAACCCUUUGCCGGA